GACGAACCGUGCGAACGUUGUUCGGAAUCACUGGGCUUAAAGGGCGCGUAGGCGGGCUGCCAAGUCAGGGGUGAAAGCCCACGGCUCAACCGUGGAAGUGCCUUUGAUACUGGCGGUCUCGAGGGAAGUAGGGGCGUGCGGAACUUCCGGUGGAGCGGUGAAAUGCGUAGAUAUCGGAAGGAACACCGGUGGCGAAAGCGGCGCGCUGGACUUCUACUGACGCUGAGGCGCGAAAGCCAGGGGAGCAAACGGG
rnacentral:rRNA from 1 species